GGGGGAUAUUGCGCAAUGGGGGCAACCCUGACGCAGCAACGCCGCGUGAAGGAUGAAGGUUUUCGGAUUGUAAACUUCUUUUAUUAAGGACGAAAAUUGACGGUACUUAAUGAAUAAGCUCCGGCUAACUACGUGCCAGCAGCCGCGGUAAUACGUAGGGAGCAAGCGUUGUCCGGAUUUACUGGGUGUAAAGGGUGCGUAGGCGGCUUUGCAAGUCAGAUGUGAAAUCUAUGGGCUCAACCCAUAAACUGCAUUUGAAACUGUAGAGCUUGAGUGAAGUAGAGGCAGGCGGAAUUCCCCGUGUAGCGGUGAAAUGCGUAGAGAUGGGGAGGAACACCAGUGGCGAAGGCGGCCUGCUGGGCUUUAACUGACGCUGAGGCACGAAAGCGUGGGUAGCAAACAGGAUUAGAUACCCUGGUAGUCCACGCUGUAAACGAUGAUUACUAGGUGUGGGGGGUCUGACCCCUUCCGUGCCGGAGUUAACACAAUAAGUAAUCCACCUGGGGAGUACGGCCGCAAGGUUGAAACUCAAAGGAAUUGACGGGGGCCCGCACAAGCAGUGGAGUAUGUGGUUUAAUUCGAAGCAACGCGAAGAACCUUACCAGGUCUUGACAUCCAACUAACGAAGUAGAGAUACAUUAGGUGCCCUUCGGGGAAAGUUGAGACAGGUGGUGCAUGGUUGUCGUCAGCUCGUGUCGUGAGAUGUUGGGUUAAGUCCCGCAACGAGCGCAACCCUUGCUAUUAGUUGCUACGCAAGAGCACUCUAAUAGGACUGCCGUUGACAAAACGGAGGAAGGUGGGGACGACGUCAAAUCAUCAUGCCCCUUAUGACCUGGGCUACACACGUACUACAAUGGAUGUUAACAGAGGGAAGCAAGACAGUGAUGUGGAGCAAACCCCUAAAAACAUUCUCAGUUCAGAUUGCAGGCUGCAACCCGCCUGCAUGAAGAUGGAAUUGCUAGUAAUCGCGGAUCAGAAUGCCGCGGUGAAUACGUUCCCG
rnacentral:rRNA from 1 species